GGAGGGACGUCCGGAGAGGAGGGGCGUCUGGAGAGGUUCAGGCCGUGGAAGGCGAGGCACGCCGACAGUUUUGGAGGGUCGGCCAGCGGGACAGCUUACCUCCAGCGCCUGGCCCAGCUCCAGAUCGAAGAGCCCGUACCUGUGGAUUUGUCUUACUGGCUCCUCGAGAAGCCUACGCCUAUACUCUUGGAUGUCUUACUUUCUUCUGAGUUCCAUGCCCCCCAGCACACAUCCUCUCUAUGUAGUUUUGGCUGGGGUAGAACUUGAUAUGUAGACCAAAUUCAUCUUCAACUCAAAGAACUCUGCCUGCCUCUGCUGUGAUUAAAGGUGGCAAUCACCAUAUUUGUAUUGCCUCUCUUAACUCCUGUGCUUAAGUCUAUAUAAAAUAUUUUUUAUUAA